rnacentral:lncRNA from 1 species
GUUGUCGUGUAGCGGACAGGGUUUGAGAUUCGAUUCAAGACGCACUACUGUGAGUACAUAGACCCCUCUCUUACUGUUUUCCAAUGUUUGGGGAGCUGUUGCUUAGGAUGUUCGUGACACACUAGGGCGGACCUAUGCCUUAGAGACUAAAAUAAAGAUGGAACUAGUUUAAUUAUGUGAUGAACACUUUGUUUCAGUUAAUUUAAGACUAU